rnacentral:rRNA from 1 species
UGAACGCUGGCGGCAAGCCUCAUACAUGCAAGUCGAACGAGAAAGUAUCUUCGGAUACAAGUAAAGUGGCGGACGGGUGAGUAAUACAUAGGAAUCUACCCAGUGGAGGGGGAUAGCUCGAGGAAACUCGAAUUAAUACCGCAUAAUCUCUACGGAGUAAAGAGGGCUUCGGCUCUCACCAUUGGAUGAGCCUAUGCAAGAUUAGCUUGUUGGUGAGGUAAUGGCUCACCAAGGCUACGAUCUUUAGCUGGUUUGAGAGGACGACCAGCCACAUCGGGACUGAGACACGGCCCGGACUUCUACGGAAGGCAGCAGUAGGGAAUAUUGGACAAUGAGCGAAAGCUUGAUCCAGCUAUGCCGCGUGUGCGAUGACGGCCUUAGGGUUGUAAAGCACUUUAGGUAACGAGGAAAAGUUAGGUGUUAAUACCACUUAACCAUGACGUUAAUUACAGAAUAAGCACCGGCUAA